rnacentral:lncRNA from 1 species
AAAAAACAGAAUAAAACAUCCAUAAACUCGAACAACUUUCUACAAACCAUAACUCAUUUACAUAUAGGUCAAAUAACAGAAUAUAACAACAACGUUUGCAACAAUUUUCACUUUUAACAAUGUAUUGCAGAUCAUGACAACCAAAUGAAUUUUUAUUACACCCGAUAACAACCAUGUUUUGCUUCGGUAGCUGAAGCCGAUGACCUGUCCACAUGGCAAUUGUAGAAUUAACCUAUCAAUAAAAAAAACACACAUAAUCAAUAGUAUGAUUUAGGUCAUAAAAUUGUAUAAUGAUUUAUUAUUGUACUUGAGAGAAUCAAUUAUGUUAAUAUAAUACUAUAAUUAAACCCUAAUUUUAUAAUAAAAUGGUAUGAUUUGGGGCAUAACAAUAUAUAAUGUUUUAUUAUUGUCCUUGAUAUAAUGUUUUUUAUUUGAUUACGUGUAUUUUUUUUUAAUUUUUUAUUGACAUAUUAGCUGAUACAAUUACCACGUGGACCGGUCACCGACUUCCGGUACCGGAAGAAAACAUAGUUGUUAUCAAGUGUAAUGAAAAUUCACUUGGUUGUUAUGAUUUGCAAUACAUUGUUAAAAGUGAAAAUUGUUGCAAACGUUGCUGUCAUUUUUAGUUAUUUGACCUUUACAUAUAUAACUGUCAAUAUACAAAACUCUGCAUUACUUCUCCAAAUACAUACUAGGAAUAUGUACAUGUACCAAUACAACAAGAGAGAUAUAAACAUGUUGAGCGCUCAUACAAAAAUAUCAUCUCUCCCAACAAAAGAUCAAAAUGGUAAUACACCAACAGACCGACCAUAUUUCUACACCAGAAAUCGUCCAAACUAAAGAACGCUAGUGCUGCUCUUGAUCAUCACCAUCAAAAUCCUGAAGCUCAACAUCUACGUUCCGAGACCAAAGAACGUACUCAAGCGUGCAAAAACAACACAACUUGGGUAAGCACAAAGCUGGAAUGAGUACUAUGCCACUAAAGAAAACAAUAAUUCAUGGUCUCUUAACAUACAUGGCAGGACUGUAGUUCCUCACAACUAGGCAAUUUAGUUUCCCAUAUAUGUAUCACAUAUCCCAAAUAAAUCAAUAAUGUAAAUUAAAACUAAAUUUACCAUCACCUCUGCGAUCUGGUAGGGUAGGCAUCAUCCUGCAAGAAAUUAUUAAGAGCCUACCCUCCUGCAAAAGCUACCGUAAUAUAUACAAGGAUAAAGAAUAUAUUAACCAACUCCACGUAAAUCAAGAGAUUCCAUAAACUUAUCUAAUAUCAACAAACAAGAAUUUAAACUUUAACAUGAAAGCACGCAAAUAAGCACAACCAUAGUAUCACAGAACCCAUGCCUAGUCAGACUCCACGAAAGCCGCUCCUACACACAUUGCCGACUUACCCAGAUAUCCAUGGCCCCCUCAUAUAUACACAACGACCACUUCAGGCUAGUAGACUCAUCAAUGGGAUAUCAAAGCAGAGUCUAAAACCCCUGAAAGGUUGUAAUAUAUGCGUGCGCGCUAUAUGCUCCGGUGCCGGCCUAUCCGGAAUGUCGAAGGAGCCACAAGUCCGUCGCCGGUCUUUCCGGAUAUUCGAGGACCAAAGGAUAAGAACCACCCUAUCCGAACUUUACGGAAUCAAGGGUCAACUGAUCGUUUACCUUAGAGGUUUUCCCUAAGGGUUUUAAAACUGGUUUUAUCAUUUGAAAACCUUUUAUUUCUCUAAGUUGAUUUCCCGAUCGUGGCAGGCUAGGAUAGAUCAAGUGACACCCACAAAGCACAUUCACAACAUGUUAUAGCACACAUAACACAGCCACUGCAGGUAUAGGCUUCACAUAAUCCAUAAUCACGGACUAAUUACUAUAAUUAAGCUAAUAACGCAACCAGAAAAAAAACUGCUGAAAGUAACAAUAUUCGGACGGCAAUUUCAUUAUAAAAAUACAACGUGGGUGAGUGCACUGUGAACAACGUUUAAAGAUGCAAGAAUCUAUUUUAUACUACAAUUGGAAUCAGUUUAAAAGGUAUUAUAUCCAGGGAGUUAUGAAUUUUCAAACAUCAACAAUUCAGAAACGUUUCAGUUAUCCCUGUCAGACUUGCGUCUCAUUUUACUCUAUGUUCCAUGUUAUAAUUUUCAGCAACGCAUAAAAGACCAAGUGUAGGUCUAAGAAUCUAGUUUGUACAACAACUUAAAUCACUAAAAACACAUUUCACAUGAGCAUUUUAUGCGAAAACUAGCAACACUAUACAAAUCUGCCAGCAAUAGAGCCUAAACCUGGAGUACUAACACCAAGUACUCCUAACAGCUCAAAUCGAUCUCCGCCCCUCUCAAGUCAGGCAAAAGACCUUGAAAUAUCGCAAUUCAAAACAAAUAUGGGGGUUUAUAGAAACCCCCCACAUUAUUAACAAAAACAACCUAUCUAUAGCACUCACCGGAAAAACACCAAUACUUUGAAUACUCCUCUUCCUUGCCGCUGCUCCUCUUCCUUCCUUCAAUUUCUUCUUUC